rnacentral:rRNA from 1 species
AUGCUUAGCCAUAAACUUAGACAUUUACUACACAAAAAUAUCCGCCAGAGAACUACGAGCAAACGCUUAAAACUCUAAAGACUUGGCGGUGCCUCAAACCCCCCUAGAGGAGCCUGUUCUAUAACCGAUAAUCCACGAUUCACCUUACCAUCUCUUGUCAAUACCGCCUAUAUACCGCCGUCACCAGCCUACCCUGUGAAGGGUAUAAAAGUAAGCAAAACAGCUAUUAUUAGCUAACAAGUCAGGUCAAGGUGUAGCUAAUUGAGAUGGAAGAGAUGGGCUACAUUUUCUAAACUAGAAAUUAUUAUUAACGGAAAGGACUAUGAAACAAGUCCUACAAGCAGGAUUUAGCAGUAAACAGGGAUCAGAAUGCCCAACUUAAGUAGGUCCUAAGGCACGCACACA